rnacentral:rRNA from 1 species
AACGAACGCUGGCGGCAUGCCUAACACAUGCAAGUCGAACGACACCUUUGUGUCUGCUUGCGCUCGCGUGCGUAACGCGUGGGAAUCUUCCCUUGUGUUCGGAAUAAUAGUUUUAAGUUGCUGCUAAUACCGGAUGAUUUCCUCUGAUCAAAUAUUUAUCGCCCAGGGAUGAGCCCGCGUACGUUUAGCUAGUUGGUGUGGUAAUGGCCGACCUAGGCUACGAUCAUUAGCUGGUCUGAGAGGAUGAUCAGCAACACUGGAACUGAGACACGGCCCAGAAUCCUACGGGAGGGAGCAGAAGGGAAUAUUGGACAAUGGGCGCAAGUCUAAUACAGCAAUGCCGGGUAAGUGAUGUAGGCCUUAGGGUAGUAAAGCUCUUUUAACAGGGAUGAUAAUGACAGUACCUGGAGAAUAAGCUCCGGCUAACUCCGUG